rnacentral:rRNA from 1 species
GACGAACGCUGGCGGCGUGCCUAAUACAUGCAAGUAGAACGCUGAAGGAGGAGCUUGCUUCUCUGGAUGAGUUGCGAACGGGUGAGUAACGCGUAGGUAACCUGCGUGGUAGCGGGGGAUAACUAGUGGAAACGAUAGCUAAUACCGCAGAACAGUAGAUAUCGCAUGAUAUCUACUGGAAAGGUGCAAUUGCAUCACUACCAGAUGGACCUGCGUUGUAUUAGGUAGUUGGUGAGGUAACGGCUCACCAAGGCGACGAUACAGAGCCGACCUGAGAGGGUGGACGGCACAACUGGGAAUGAGACCCGGCCCAGACUCCUACGGGAGGCAGCAGGAGGGAAACUUCGGACAUGGGCGGAAGUCUGACCGAGCAAAGCCGGGGGAGUGAAGAAGGUUUUCGGAUCGGAAAGCUCUGUUGUAAGAGAAGAAAGAGUGUGAGAGUGGAAAGUUCACACUGUGACGGUAUCUUAACAGAAAGCGACGGCUAACUACGUG